rnacentral:rRNA from 1 species
UACGAAGGGGACUAGCGUUGUUCGGAAUCACUGGGCGUAAAGCGCACGUAGGCGGAUUUGUAAGUCAGGGGUGAAAUCCCGGGGCUCAACCUCGGAACUGCCUUUGAUACUGCGAAUCUCGAGUCCGAUAGAGGUGGGUGGAAUUCCUAGUGUAGAGGUGAAAUUCGUAGAUAUUAGGAAAGAACACCGGUGGCGAAGGCGGCCAUCUGGACCAGCACUGACGCUGAGGCACGAAAGCGUGGGGAGCAAACAGG